AAUUUUGGACAAUGGGGGAAACCCUGAUCCAGCCAUCCCGCGUGUAUGAUGAAGGCCUUCGGGUUUUAAAGUACUUUUGGCAGAGAAGAAAAGGUAUCCCCUAAUACGGGAUACUGCUGACGGUAUCUGCAGAAUAAGCACCGGCCAACUACGUACCAGCAGCCGCGGUAAUACGUAGGGUGCAAGCGUUAAUUGGAAUUACUGGGCGUAAAGCAUGUGUAGGCGGUUCGGAAACAAGGAUGUGAAAUCCCAGGGCUCAACCUUGGAACUGCAUUCUUAACUACCGAACUAGAGUAUGUCAGAGGAGGGUAGAAUUCCGCGUUUAGCAGUGAAAUGCGUAGAUAUGCGGAGGAAUACCGAUGGCGAAGGCAGCCCCCUGGGAUAAUACUGACGCUCAUGCACGAAAGCGUGGGUAGCAAACAGG
rnacentral:rRNA from 1 species